rnacentral:sRNA from 1 species
UCAUCUAAAAUUAAUUAAAUCUCAAAAGAGUCAUUCCUGAGGAAGGUUGUUUACGUAAGUGAUAUGGUUGGACAUGAACUUUACGCGGUAAAUUAUCCGCUUUAACAUUUGCACUAUAAGAAAUUAAAGAUAAAGAAAAACUUGAAAAUUCUUCCUUGUUAUUCUGCAAUUCCUCCAAAUACACUGAGAAGGUCGGCCAUUCGGUUGGAGAAGACACCAUCUUCACCAGAUCUGAAGAGUCUGUAAGAAACACAACAUCUUGAUUGUCGGCGCCAAUCAUGCACUUCAUCGCCCAUAGAAGAGCUUCCACUUCGGCAUGUAGUGAGGAUAGCCUUCGUCUGAGGUUUGCUGCUCCCAUUGUUAGCGUCUCUUCAUUUGCUAAUGUACAGUAUCAUCAUGUCCCAGAAAAAAAGUCGUUUU